UACGGAGGAUCCGAGCGUUAUCCGGAUUUAUUGGGUUUAAAGGGUGCGUAGGCGGUUUGAUAAGUUAGAGGUGAAAUGUCGGGGCUCAACCCCGAAACUGCCUCUAAUACUGUUGGACUAGAGAAUAGUUGCGGUAGGCGGAAUGUAUGGUGUAGUGGUGAAAUGCUUAGAGAUCAUACAGAACACCGAUUGCGAAGGCAGCUUACCAAACUAUAUCUGACGUUGAGGCACGAAAGCGUGGGUAGCAAACAGG
rnacentral:rRNA from 1 species